GUAUAGAGGGUGAAUUCUGCCCAAUGGUUGUAUAGUGAAACUAAGGACUAACGUCUAAAGCGAAACCCAACUGAAUGGCCGCGGUAACUCUGACCGUGAUAAUGUAGCACAAUAAAUAGCCAAUUAAUUGUUGGCGGGUAUGAAUGGAACCACGAAGGUCUUACUGUCUCAAGAGGAAAGCCGAUGAAAUUAUAGUUGUAGUGAAGAUACUACAUAAUCAUUGUAAGACGAAAAGACCCUAUCGAGCUUUACUGGAUACCAAUAACGUUGACUAAAAAUGAUCGAUACAAGUAUCCUAAUUUUGAGUUAAUAAUUUUUGUUGGUAAGACAGUUUAGUUGGGGCGACUACCUUUGAAUAAGAAACGAAGGCGAGCUUAUUGGUAUAAAAGCUAAUCUCAUUAGCCUGACAGUGAGGGGGACACCCCUAGCUGGCACAAGGACAUAGUCCUAUGUGGGCGAUAAUGACCCGAUAUGAUAGUCCAAAAUAAAUAUCGAAAGCGGAUAAAAGCUACCGUAGGGAUAACAGCGUAAUAUUGUCGGAGAGUUCUUAUCGAGGACAAUGUUUGCGACCUCGAUGUUGAAUUGCGGUGCCCUGGUGCUGUAGAAGGUACCUUAGGUUGGUC
rnacentral:rRNA from 1 species